ACCUCAAGUGACUCUGCAACUUGCCAAACAGGUUAGUCUUAUUACUUUGCAAUAUUAUGUUUCAAUGUUUUUGUUUUAGUCACAGUGUUUGAGAUUGUCCAUCUAUCGAUUUUCAGGCAAAUGAAAGAGACGAUCGAGAGUUGCUUCCCCUGCCGCAGGUGAGUUUCUGCUGUAUGUAGAUUACCGGUAACUUGUUUAACAAACGUCGAGGCCUUUGUAUUACGAGCUGCUGUUUUUGAAGAUCUCUUCGCAAGAUUCUUAAGGAGAUGCAGAAAGAAGCAAACGAAUCGAGCUGAGUCAAGUCGAGUAGAUUCCUCAAGCUCACCGUCAUCUCGGACUAGAAGUGUUAAAAGUAAUCUAAACUAUAGAAGAUGAAAAUUCAGAUUUGAGAGAAGACAAGAGAGAAGAGUGCGAGAGAAUAUUUUCUGUAUUCAAGUUCAUAAACUGAGAGGAGUAACCCAAAUUCUUGUUGUGUAGUGAAAAAUAUUAAAACCAACGUUGAUUUGGAAGCAGUUGUGAUCAUUUUCAACGCGCAUAAAGACUUUGAUCAAUUGGUUGAUUGCUUAAUCUUUAUAAUCUCCUUUUGAUGGCCGCG
rnacentral:lncRNA from 1 species